UUCUAAGGCUGAGAACUGAUGACGAGCUCUUUUUUAAAGAGUGAAGUGGUUGAUACUAUGCUUCCAAAAAGCCUCUAAGCUUCAGGUAUAAAGGAACCGUACCCCAAACCGACACAGGUGGUCGGGUAGAGAAUACUAAGGCGCUUGAGAGAACUCUGGUGAAGGAACUAGGCAAAUUGGUACCGUAACUUCGGGAGAAGGUACGCCGAUGUUGGUGAUGAGAUUUACUCUUUAAGCUGAUAUCGGUCGAAGAUACCAGGUGGCUGCAACUGUUUAUUAAAACCACAGCACUCUGCAAACACGUAAGUGGACGUAUAGGGUGUGACGCCUGCCCGGUGCCGGAAGGUUAAUUGAUGGGGUUAGCGCAAGCGAAGCUCUUGAUCGAAGCCCCGGUAAACGGCGGCCGUAACAAUAACGGUCCUAAGGUAGCGAAAUUCCUUGUCGGGUAAGUUCCGACCUGCACGAAUGGCGUAAUGAUGGCCACACUGUCUCCACCAGAGGCUCAGUGAAAUUGAAAUCGCGGUUAAGAUGCCGUGUACCCGCGGCUAGACGGAAAGACCCCGUGAACCUUUACUAUAGCUUCACAGUGGACUUUGAUAUUACUUGUGUAGGAUAGCUGGGAGGCAUUGAAGCAGAGACGCCAGUUUCUGUGGAGCCAUCCGUGAAAUACCAGCCUGGUAAUCUUGAGGUUCUAACGCAGGUCCAUUAUCUGGAUCGCGGACAUUGUGUGGUGGGUAGUUUGACUGGGGCGGUCUCCUCCUAAAGAGUAACGGAGGAGCACGAAGGUGUGCUAAUCACGGUCGGACAUCGUGAGGUUAGUGUAAAGGCAUAAGCACGCUUGACUGCGAGACUGACAAGUCGAGCAGGUACGAAAGUAGGUCUUAGUGAUCCGGUGGUUCUGUAUGGAAGGGCCAUCGCUCAACGGAUAAAAGGUACUCCGGGGAUAACAGGCUGAUUCCGCCCAAGAGUUCACAUCGACGGCGGAGUUUGGCACCUCGAUGUCGGCUCAUCACAUCCUGGGGCUGAAGCCGGUCCCAAGGGUAUGGCUGUUCGCCAUUUAAAGUGGUACGCGAGCUGGGUUUAGAACGUCGUGAGACAGUUCGGUCCCUAUCUGCCGUGGGCGUUGGAGAUUUGAGGAAAGCUGCUCCUAGUACGAGAGGACCGGGGUGGACGAACCUCUGGUGUUCCGGUUGUCACGCCAGUGGCAUUGCCGGGUAGCUAUGUUCGGACAGGAUAACCGCUGAAAGCAUCUAAGCGGGAAGCCCCUUCCAAGAUGAGAUCUCCCUGGGACUUUAAGUCCCCUAAAGAGCCGUUGAAGACUACAACGUUGAUAGGUUGGGUGUGUAAGCACUGUAAGGUGUUGAGCUAACCAAUACUAAUUGCUCGUGAGGCUUGACCA
rnacentral:rRNA from 1 species